rnacentral:piRNA from 1 species
AGACAGGGGUACUGGUGCAAGCAACUUGA